rnacentral:misc_RNA from 1 species
CCGAGUUAGGGUCUUCUCAGGCCCGAUCUCCCAACCCUUUGUCGAACUUACCACUUGUUGCUUCGGCGGGCCCGUCCCCCCUUUUAGGAGGACCGUCGGGAGGCUGUCAAACGCCCCCUGGCCCGCGCCCGUCGACAGCCUAAACCAUUAAAUUCUGAAUAAAACGUGUCACGAUCUGAGUAUCUAUUUAAAUAAAGCACA